rnacentral:rRNA from 1 species
UGAGGAAUAUUGGUCAAUGGACGAGAGUCUGAACCAGCCAAGUAGCGUGAAGGAUGACUGCCCUAUGGGUUGUAAACUUCUUUUAUACGGGAAUAAAGUGAGGCACGCGUGCCUUUUUGUAUGUACCGUAUGAAUAAGGAUCGGCUAACUCCGUGCCAGCAGCCGCGGUAAUACGGAGGAUCCGAGCGUUAUCCGGAUUUAUUGGGUUUAAAGGGAGCGCAGACGGGGGAUUAAGUCAGCGGUGAAAGUCUGUGGCUCAACCAUAGAAUUGCCGUUGAAACUGGGAGGCUUGAGUAUGUUUGAGGCAGGCGGAAUGCGUGGUGUAGCGGUGAAAUGCAUAGAUAUCACGCAGAACCCCGAUUGCGAAGGCAGCCUGCCAAGCCAUGACUGACGCUGAUGCACGAAAGCGUGGGGAUCAAACAGGAUUAGAUACCCUGGUAGUCCACGCAGUAAACGAUGAUCACUAGCUGUUUGCGAUACACUGUAAGCGGCACAGCGAAAGCGUUAAGUGAUCCACCUGGGGAGUACGCCGGCAACGGUGAAACUCAAAGGAAUUGACGGGGGCCCGCACAAGCGGAGGAACAUGUGGUUUAAUUCGAUGAUACGCGAGGAACCUUACCCGGGUUUGAACGCAUUCGGACCGAGGUGGAAACACCUUUUCUAGCAAUAGCCGUUUGCGAGGUGCUGCAUGGUUGUCGUCAGCUCGUGCCGUGAGGUGUCGGCUUAAGUGCCAUAACGAGCGCAACCCUUGCCACUAGUUACUAACAGGUAAAGCUGAGGACUCUGGUGGGACUGCCAGCGUAAGCUGCGAGGAAGGCGGGGAUGACGUCAAAUCAGCACGGCCCUUACAUCCGGGGCGACACACGUGUUACAAUGGCGUGGACAAAGGGAAGCCACCUGGCGACAGGGAGCGAAUCCCCAAACCACGUCUCAGUUCGGAUCGGAGUCUGCAACCCGACUCCGUGAAGCUGGAUUCGCUAGUAAUCGCGCAUCAGCCAUGGCGCGGUGAAUACGUUCCC